GGAACCUUGAUGUAGUGGUAGCAUAUUAGUCUUCGGUAGAUGACUGAUAACUAAGUGUCGUCGGUUCGAUCCCGGCAGGUUCCU